rnacentral:rRNA from 1 species
AUGGAGGAUCUGAAGGGGUACAGGGUGGAGGUGAGCUCCGCUUUGCGUGCCAAUGCCAUGGGGUUCACCUUCCUUGGCAUGCCGCCGCCGUCCAGCAGCACCGUCGGCAUGGCACUGGUGUUGAACAUCUUGGGUGGGUACAAGUCGGCGGAGUUUCUGAGAGGAUUUCUGGGCGUGCACCGGCUGAUCGAGGCGGUUAAGCACAUGCUGGCCGUCCGGAUGGACUUCGGCGACCCUGGCUUCGUCAACGCCACUGGGAUCGUCUCCGAUAAGGUCCGGCAAAGGAUCGCCGACAACACCACUUUCCCUCCGGCCUACUACCUCCCAAAGUGGAGCCAGCUGCGUGACAAUGGCACGAGCCACCUGUGCGUGGUGGACGGCGACCGGAAUGCGGUGGCGACGACGACGACGGUGAACUAUUACUUCGGUGCACAGGUCCUCUCACCGUCCACCGGCAUCGUGCUCAAGAACGAGAUGGACGACUUUUCGGUGCCGUCAUCGUAUCCGACCCCCGACCACCUCCCACCGGCGCCGGCCAACUUCAUGACGGGGGAAAGCGACCGCUCUCAUCGAUGA